rnacentral:rRNA from 1 species
UACGGAGGGUGCAAGCGUUAUCCGGAUUCACUGGGUUUAAAGGGUGCGUAGGUGGAUCUGUAAGUCAGUGGUGAAAUCUUCGAGCUUAACUCGGAAACUGCCAUUGAUACUAUAGAUCUUGAAUUUUCUGGAGGUAAGCGGAAUAUGUCAUGUAGCGGUGAAAUGCUUAGAUAUGACAUAGAACACCCAUUGCGAAGGCAGCUUACUACGGAUUGAUUGACACUGAGGCACGAAAGCGUGGGGAUCAAACAGG